GUUACAGAAUCAGCUAGAAGAAGGAGGCAGCAGAUGACCAGGACAGGUGAAGAAGAAGGGAGACCUGAGAAGCAAGGUUGAAUCAGCACACAAAACUAAGCAAUAAGGCUUGGAACCUGGGUGCCUGCAGGUGCACGUUCUUCCAUAUUCUCCUCCCCAAAUGCCUCUGGUCGUGAUCUGAAACCCUGCACCAGAACUGUCCACUCUGUGAAGAUGCCAGAGUGUGGGAUUUGUUACCUGUUACACCCAAGAAAUCAAAAAUUCAUUGAAUGAAAGAACCUAUCACCUGUGCGUAAGAACUCCACAGCAGCAGUUUGCCAUAUGCAACAGCAAGAGAAUGGAGAGAACUAAGAAAUAAGACUGUACAUUGUGUGUGUCUGCUGAGAAUGCCAUGCAAAAUCAAAUCUACCUACACACAGAAGACUGGCACAAAGAGGACCGCUUGGUCAGUUUUUUAUUUCAAUAAGACCAAAGGUGCAGGU